GACGAACGCUGGCGGCGUGCUUAACACAUGCAAGUCGAACGGAAAGGCCCUGCUUUUGUGGGGUGCUCGAGUGGCGAACGGGUGAGUAACACGUGAGUAACCUGCCCUUGACUUUGGGAUAACUUCAGGAAAUUGGGGCUAAUACCGGAUAGGAUCUCCUGCUGCAUGGUGGGGGUUGGAAAGUUUCGGCGGUUGGGGAUGGACUCGCGGCUUAUCAGCUUGUUGGUGGGGUAGUGGCUUACCAAGGCUUUGACGGGUAGCCGGCCUGAGAGGGUGACCGGCCACAUUGGGACUGCGAUACGGCCCAGACUCCUACGGGACGCAGCAGUGGGGAAUAUUGCACAAUGGGCGGAAGCCUGAUGCAGCAACGCCGCGUGCGGGAUGACGGCCUUCGGGUUGUAAACCGCUUUCGCCUGUGACGAAGCGUGAGUGACGGUAAUGGGUAAAGAAGCACCGGCUAACUACGUG
rnacentral:rRNA from 1 species